UUAGUUGAAAAAUUAAAAAAUCCUUCACCGUUCGACGACAAAUAACAUUGUGACAGUGAUCGUUGUUCAAAAAUUAAGGCUGAAGGUCGUUCCCUCGCCAAAAUCAGCACGACAACAAUCAAACAAACUAAGGAAGGAAAAUCAACCCACAACCUAACAGAAGGAAGACCCCAACGGGGCAGAUUCGGAAUAUAAAAAAUAAUAUUAUUAAAAAAAUAAUAAGAUAGAUUCGCGAAUCAAAAAAUAUCAUCAAGAAACAAUCUGGAAGAUUUAAUAAAUAGCUUUGGUGAAUUAAAAUUGAAAAUGGCAGCCGGAGGUUCUCUGCAGUUGAAUGAAGUGAGCAGGAAAAUAUAAGGUUUAGAAGGAAGAUUAGCCUCAGAUGCAAACGUUGUGGAGGAUUAUAAAAUACAAACAAUCGACCCAACUAUAAAGUGCGAUACAACACUUAAAGUGGUAAAAUCUUUACCAAAGUUCACCGGGGAAACAAUACAAUAUGUAGGAUGGACGGAAGCUGCAGAAACUUUUUUCUUUAUAAAAUUCAAAGUGAACAGUACAUUAUCGCUUUAUCAAUUUUACAAAAUAAAAUUAUGGGAGCUGCCCAUGAUACUCUUACCAAUAA